rnacentral:lncRNA from 1 species
AAAUAUUUUUAAUAUUUAUUUUUAUUUUAAUCAAAAUUCCAUUGACUAAUAUUGGAAGAACUUCACAAACCUCACACUCUUUAUCAAACAAGGAAUUACCUCCCGAUCGAAACCCAUCUUAUAGUCUAUUGUAUAUUUUAUAGCAUUCUCGCAUAAUGUUAGAAUCUAAUGAAAUAAUAAUAAUAAUAAUAAUCGGAAUUUGAAAACAAAAUGUUUAAAUAGAAAAAUAGGGAAAGCAGGCUCAGAUCAGUUAUUCGAUCGGACAAAAGAAAAAAACCUCGCCAUGGCUGCAGAUUACCGGUUGCAUAUGAAAAGGAAAAUCCAAAUCACAUACCGUCCGGGUUGCCACGCCAAGAUACGGGUCGGAUUAUCUCAAAGUCCGAUCUAAGCUCGGAAGAUUGAAGAAACAUCAUCGCUGCCUUAUAAUUUGAGGAUCAAACUGGUAACCAUUCAUUCUGUAUUGUAAAUCAUUUAUAAAUUCUUCUCAAACAGAGGCUAAAUACGGAUCUACAAAAAAAACUGAUUUUUAUCCAAACCAAACAGGGGCUUAAACUACUCCUCGUAACAAGGUUGAAUUGUUAAGAGGAAGCCAAAGCAAAUAUUUCUUGUAGAGGGCUGUUAAUUUUGGUUUCUGGGGCGAAAUCAUCGGCCAUAAAGAGAAGAGAAGGGUAACCACCCUUGAAGAAUUCCCAAUCUCUCUGCGAACCUCAUUCUUCCCUUCCAAGCUGCUAACACUUCAAUGGCCUUUAUCUCUCAAUUUAUACUGCCCCCAAUGUUACAAUUUUACCCUUGUCGUGUGCUAUUUUACUGACUUACACAACAGUUUGAUGGUUGCAAAAGGACAUAGUUGUGACUGUGAUUUCAGUCCACAACACCGAUUGGAGGACGUGUUUGUUUAACAGUGACCUUUUUUGAGACUUGAAAUUAAUUUGGAGUUGGC